rnacentral:rRNA from 1 species
UCGGGAAUAUUGUGCAAUGGAGGAAACUCUGACACAGUGACGCCGCGUAUGGGAAGAAGGUUUUCGGAUUGUAAACCAUUGUUGGAGGGGAAGAAACAAGACAGUACCCUCAAAGAAAGCUCCGGCUAACUACGUGCCAGCAGCCGCGGUAAUACGUAGGGAGCGAGCGUUAUCCGGAUUUAUUGGGUGUAAAGGGUGCGUAGACGGGAAUUUAAGUUAGUUGUGAAAUCCCUCGGCUUAACUGAGGAACUGCAACUAAAACUGAAUUUCUUGAGUGCGGGAGAGGAAAGUGGAAUUCCUAGU